UACGAAGGGGGCUAGCGUUGCUCGGAAUCACUGGGCGUAAAGCGCACGUAGGCGGCUUUCUAAGUCAGGGGUGAAAUCCUGGAGCUCAACUCUAGAACUGCCUUUGAUACUGGCGAUCUUGAGUCCGGGAGAGGUGAGUGGAACUGCGAGUGUAGAGGUGAAAUUCGUAGAUAUUCGCAAGAACACCAGUGGCGAAGGCGGCUCACUGGCCCGGUACUGACGCUGAGGUGCGAAAGCGUGGGGAGCAAACAGG
rnacentral:rRNA from 1 species